UACGUAGGCAGCGAGCGUUGUUCGGAAUUACUGGGCGUAAAGAGUGCGUAGGCGGUUUCGUACGUCUGUUGUGAAAUCUCCCGGCUUAACUGGGAGGGUGCGGCGAAAACUGCGGGGCUUGAGUGUGGGAGAGGUAAGCGGAAUUCCUGGUGUAGCGGUGAAAUGCGUAGAUAUCAGGAGGAACACCGGCGGUGUAGACGGCUUACUGGACCAUGACUGACGCUGAGGCACGAAAGCGUGGGGAGCAAACAGG
rnacentral:rRNA from 1 species